rnacentral:pre_miRNA from 9 species
UCUCGAUAUCGUAAAAGUUAACUCAAAUUUGUAUAGAGUUGGAACGUUUGCCUACGUUUGCCGCUAGAGAUGCUGUUCCAACUGCACACAAAUUUGAGUUAACUUUUACGCUAUCGA